GUAAUGGCUCUUCUGAGAGCCAUCUAUACUUAUCAACAAAGGGGGU
rfam:Chlorocebus sabaeus isolate 1994-021 chromosome 18, whole genome shotgun sequence.